rnacentral:rRNA from 1 species
GACGAGCCUCACAAACGUUAUUCGGAAUUACUGGGCUUAAAGGGUGCGUAGGCGCCGCGGAAAGUUGGGUGUGAAAUCCCUCGGCUUAACCGAGGAACUGCGCCCAAAACUACCGUGCUCGAGGAAGAUAGAGGUGAGCGGAACUUACGGUGGAGCGGUGAAAUGCGUUGAUAUCGUAAGGAACACCCGUGGCGAAAGCGGCUCACUGGGUCUUUUCUGACGCUGAUGCACGAAAGCUAGGGGAGCAAACGGG